GGACUACCCGGGUUUCUAAUCCUGUUUGAUCCCCACACUUUCGUGCCUCAGCGUCAGUUACAGUCUAGUAAGCUGCCUUCGCAAUCGGUGUUCUUGACAAUAUCUAUGCAUUUCACCGCUACACUGUCAAUUCCGCCUACCUCGUCUGUACUCAAGUCUCCCAGUAUCAAUGGCAUUUCUCCAGUUAAGCUGGAGGCUUUCACCGCUGACUUAAAAGACCGCCUACGCACCCUUUAAACCCAAUAAAUCCGGACAACGCUUGCACCCUCCGUAUUACCGCGGCUGCUGGCAC
rnacentral:rRNA from 1 species